UAUCCAUAUUAUUUCAUGUUGCAUGCUAUGCAUUAUCAAAAAAAAUGCAGGUAUCAAUGGUUUUAACACUGAAAAUAAAGGAAUCUAUAAAGGCUGGAUAAAUAAGCAUAUACUAGUGAUACCGAACCUCUUAAGCUCAAAUUCCUGUGCCUGAUGUACGGCAAGCUAAACACUGACACACGGGUACCUGGAGAUGGAGAAAGGCCCCAUUCAAGUUGGCCAAGAUGAGAAGGUGGAAGCCUCAGUUGGCUCAAAUCCAUCUCCCCAAAACAGAAAGCAGGGGAGUUUUAUAAAGCUAAGGCGCUUGGCAGGAGGAGCUUCAGAGAAACAAAGGGGUCACUCCUGAUAAACCCCUGGGCAAUCUGACUUCUGGGCUUCAACAGCUGCUGGGCUGCGGAGGGCUAGCUAUCCAGUGAUCGUAACCACCCUGAAGGCACUCUCUUUCUUCCGCAAAACAAACUCACAAAUCCUCGAGAUCAAGUCAUCCCUCAAGUUAAACAAGAAAGCAGCAAAUUGACAAGAUUCAUCUAUGUCUGUUGGGAACAAAGUUGGAAGGCACUCAUGUUUUUAUUGAAUAUCUAUAGUAACCCUCAGGUUUCUGUAGACCCCUCAGGCUUCACUACUUUCAACUCAAGGUUUCUAAACUCUCUUUUUGGAAACUGCAGACGCUCUUUGAUGGGUACCUGGUAGUUUGGAAAACCCAUUCAAAUCAGAAUCAGAGCACAAAAUUUCCAGUUCCAGCCCUGCCCCUGGUUUGCUCUGAGAUUUGGGGCAAAUCACUUACUCUGCUUGGGCCUCAGUUUCCUUGAUUGAAACUCUUCAGUUUACAGGAUACUUAAGGCAGGGCAAGUUGCAAUACUGAGAAGAGCGCUGGCUGAUCAAAGACUUGUGGGCUCAAGAGGAAGAAGCUGAAGUGUGGGCUCUAAAACGAAAGUUUUUAUUAAAGCCUGACCAUUAGUUAUUCUAGAUCUACUAGGCAAAGGUUACUAAUGGGAAAUAGCAAUUGUAUUAAAAAGGAGAGUAAAUCUUCUCAGACCUUCAUCAUUAUUUCAAACCACAUUUCAGGAUCAACAGCGAAGGCUUUAUCUGAUGCUUGCCUUAAUUUAAUGUCUCUAAUAGCUGUGACCUUCAGAGGAAUCAAUGUAGUAUAAUCUGCAGCUGGAAACUAUGCGUGCUUCUGGGUACUGUGCAACACAGAUAAAAUAAAGUUGAAUAAAAGUACUUAAUAAUGCGAUCUCUAUGAGAAAAAAAUAUUGUGCACACCCUCAAAUGCUUAAAACUAGCAUGUAUAUUGUGCUUCCCAAACAACUCUACAAACUAUUUAUAGAGAAAUCACAUCAACCACCCACCACUUGUUACAACAGAGUGAGUAUUUUAACAUUGAAAGGCAACUUUAUAAGACAGCAAGGGAAUUACUAAUGGAAGGAAAUGAUAGGCUAGAAAUGACAGGUUGAUUUCUUCCUUUUUUAUUUUUAACCUUUAGAGUGUAAUAUCUAUUCAGGGAAAUGAAUGUAAGUGUCAGCUAGCUGAAUUUUCAUAAACUUAACACACUUGUGUAACUGGCACCCAUAUCAAGAAACAGAUUGUUACCAAAACCCCCUAAGCCUUCCAGUCACUGUCCUCCUCCCAAGGUUACUGGGGGUCUCGUCUUCUAAUUGCACAGGUUAGGUUAGUCUGUUCUUAACUUUCAUCUAAAUAGAAUGAUACAUAUGCAAUCUUUUGUGGUUGCUUUCUUUCAUUUAACUUUACCUUAGUGAGACUCAUCAACGUUGUUGUUUGUAGUUGUUUGUUCAUUCUGCUGCACAGUAUUAAAUGCUUCAACUAUACAGCAAUUUAUUGAUCCAUUCCACUUUUGAUGGGCGUUUAGGUAGUUUUUUGUUUUACUACAAAUUGUGCUUCUAAUAAUCAUUCUUGAUCGUGUGUUUUGAGUAUAUAUUUAGGAGUGAAAUUGCUUUGUCAUAGGCUAAGCUCAUAUUCACAUUAAGAGGUACUGCCAAACAGUUUUCCAAAUGGUGUACCAGUUUACGCUCUCAGCAGUAGUGGACAAGAAUCACAGUCACUGUAUAUACUUGCCAACACAUUACUUUCUGGUGGGUGGGUAAGGGUGUCACAUUAUGAUUUUGAUUUGCUUUUCCUUGAUGGCUAAUAAAGUUGAGC
ensembl:lncRNA